rnacentral:misc_RNA from 1 species
UACAGAGGGUGCGAGCGUUAAUCGGAUUUACUGGGCGUAAAGCGUGCGUAGGAGGCUUGUUAAGUCGGUUGUGAAAUCCCCGGGCUCAACCUGGGAACUGCAGUCGAUACUGGCAGGCUAGAGUUCGGUAGAGGGUGGCGGAAUUUCCGGUGUAGCGGUGAAAUGCGUAGAGAUCGGAAGGAACACCAAUGGCGAAGGCAGCCACCUGGGCCUGAACUGACUCUGAGGCACGAAAGCGUGGGGAGCAAACAGG